AUGCAUGUGUGUUGUAUGAGAUUCUCGUGUAUGCACCGUGUCCGAGAGAGGUCUUUGGACGUUCCUCAUUUGCCAUGCCGCCAUCCCGUGGGAACCCGGAAUCCGGGAGCACUCCACCAUCCUUGCAAGACACACUCACGCCCACUUCUUUUGCACCGGUAUCUCCGUGAGCUACCGGAACCGAUAUGUUGUUGUGACAUCAUUUUCGGAUUCGUUGCCAUGGCACCCGUUUCGUUCCGCCAUGGUGACCAAAUGCUUCAUAACAUGCUCAUGUCAACAUUUUCAUUAAAAAUGCAUAAAACUUGCAUAUCUCAUCCGCAUCAUGAUAACAACAUUUAA
rnacentral:rRNA from 1 species